UGUAGGGGGAAGUUGAAAAUACAUGAGAAAACCUCCAUAGUUGAUACCAUAGGAUUUCUGAAAGGAGCCCUAUGGAGAGAGUGGGCUUUAAUAGGAAGAACACUUUCUCCCCUGGAGGAAAAAGCUGCAUGUAAACCCUGGUAGUUUGUAGGUGUGGCAAUGGACAGGACCAUGGCUUCUGUGCUGAAGAAAGCAAACACCAGACGCAUCAGGCCAUGGAUACAGGUCUUUUAAGGAAGCAGUUUCUACUCUAUGCAUGAAACUUGUUUGGAUUGAAACCCAGUUUCAAAGCAUCCUCUGUGUAAACUGAUGAGCACAGGGUUUUGGCACUGUCUCCCUGUGUGCUUGAUAUCCAGAUUUACUGUCUGAUCUUGGAUAUAUUUCAAUGAAAUGAGACCUCUAAUAGUAGAGGAAUAGAUAUUUGUGAAACAGUAUGACAGUGAUAGCAAUUAUUAUAAAAACAAGAAGCACUGCAUAAAUGCCUUAUACAGUAAUAAUUGCGAGAUUUAAUUUGGAGUGGCUUUUCCUUAUUUGCCCAAUAAGUUCUAUUUAAUUAUUUGCUGUGGCAUUAAACUUCCAAGGGGAGCUAGGCAUGGUCUCCACCUGUUUUAAAUACUGUGUGUCUCAAUCACAAACUUAACCUUGUGAAACAUUAGAGUCUCAGUAUCCAUGUUAAAGCUAAUGUUUAACUGGAAAAUGCAUCAGUUAAAUUUAUCUUUUAGAUUUUAUGUAACAUGCUUGCAUGCUGGCACUUUGCAUACCAUUAACAGAAACUAGAAUCCUAUUCUUCUUUUGAAAGUUCAUUUUCUUUUUCAGUACCACGAAAUACCAAACUGAACUUGACUCCAAACAUGCGCUCAGUUUCAAACUGGAUAUGAAGACCAUUUAAGAAUCAUGUGUGAGUGAAUUUCAUUGAAAGAGAAGAAACAUUUAAAAACUUUUAAGUCCUUUCUGAAUUGCUUAUACAUAUAUUCAGCAAUUCAGUGAUGCAGCCUGGAUGUGCACAGACUUGGGUAAUUGGUAUAGCUUCAAGUGGACAUUAUUCUUCUUAUAACAAUACUGCAUUUUCCUCCCUCAAACACUAACCUGCUAUAUUUACAAUUACAUUUGUUGCCAAAUAUAUUAAGUGGACAAAUGGGUCACUGUCUGCCUGCAUUUUUCUGACCCAGUCACAAUUCAUCAAGAAAAACAAAGUUUGGCUGGGAUUCUGAAACAAGCACACUAAGCUGUAAAUGUAUACUUAUGUUUGCAUGUUAGAAUACAUCUUAGUUACACGAUAAAAAGGAGCAGGGGAGAGGUGGGUGCUUGGAAGUAAAAAUGUGACCACAAUGAAAUUUUGACUGCAGCAUUUGAGGAAUGGUGGCAGAGCAGUUGGCAUCAGCUCUUGUCUGCAGCAGUAAUCAGGGCAAAGAAGCAAUCUUCUGUGACCCCAAACUAAGAAUGGAGUCUUGCUUUGAGAAACUCAUGCUUACCAGUUCAGAAGUAACAUGCUAUAGAGAUUUUCAGAAUACUAAUCUAUCUCAGAUUAGUGUAUUAUAAAAUAAAAGUGGACAAAUAUAAAUAAAUAAUUUUUUCAAGUCUUUAUAAAAAUAGUAGGCUAUUGCCUCAUUUUAGGGACAUAAUUUUUAAUGCCAAGUGAAAACUAUGUAGAAAUUCUAAUUACAAAUUUGUGUACAGCUUUACAAUUAUUGUAUGUGUUAGAUGUGCAUGUGUUGAACGUUACUAUAUAUCAUGCUUUGUGCUGCUCAUCGAACAUAUGAAGUUGCAUAAAACAGUCUUUGCUUUUGGGAGACUAAGUUCAGUGUGAGGGGCAGACACUAAAAGUAAAUACUCCGAUAACUGACGAGAGGGUGAAUACCAUAAUAAAGAUGCUGUUUUUCUCUCUCCUCUCUCGAGCUUCCUGUCUUUCUCUCUCUCUCCUCUCUCUCCCGUUCAGGAUUUUUAGUUACAGAAAGGAGGUCAUGGAAAGAUCAACAUUUUAGCCCAUUGUAGCUGCUGUAACAGAGUAUCAUAGACUGAGUGGCUUAUAAACAACAGAAAGCUAUUUUUCAAAGUUCUGGAAGCCUGAAGUCCAAGUAAAGACACGAACAGAUUUGAUGUGUGGUAAGGGACUGCUUUCUCAUAGAUGGCUGGCUUCCUUUUGUAUCCUUACAUGAUGGAGGGGUGAGGGGGGUGUCUUUGGAAGUCUCUUUUAGAAAAGCACUAAUGUCAUUCAUAAAGACCCUGUCCUUAUGAUCUAGUCAUCUCCCAAAGGCCACACGUCCUAGUACCAUAUUAUCUUGAGAUUAGGAUUUUCACUUUUGAAUUUUGAGGGGACAUAAAUAUUCAGCCCUUAUCAUUCCACCUCUGAUCUUUUGAAAUUCAUGUCCCACUUGCAUGCCAAAUACCACCCCAAUAGCCCCCAAAGUCCUAACUUGUUCCAUGGACAACUUGAAAGUCUAAAGUCCAAAGUCUCAUCUAAAUGUCAUGUUAAUUGUAUAUGAGUGAGUCUCGAGGUAUCCUGAGGCAAAUUCCUCUCCAGCUGUGAACCUGUGAUCUCAGGCAUGUUACGUGCUUCCAAAACACAAUGGUGAAACAGGCACAGAAUGGGCAUUUCCAUUUCAAAAGAAACACAUAGGAAAGAAUGGAGUGACUGGUCCCAAGCGUGG
rnacentral:lncRNA from 10 species